rnacentral:rRNA from 1 species
CGAACGCUGGCGGCAUGCCUAACACAUGCAAGUCGAACGCGUGUAGCAAUACACGAGUGGCGGACGGGUGAGUAACGCGUGGGAACCUGCCCAAUGGUAGGGAAUAACUGCGGGAAACUGCAGCUAAUACCCUAUGCUCCCUACGGGGGAAGAUUUAUCGCCAUUGGAGGGGCCCGCGUCGGAUUAGCUAGUUGGCGGGGUAACGGGCCCACCAAGGCUACGAUCCGUAGCUGGUCUGAGAGGAUGAUCAGCCACACUGGGACUGAGAUACGGCCCAGACUCCUACGGGAGGCAGCAGUGGGGAAUAUUGGACAAUGGGGGAAACCCGUGAUCCAGCAAUGCCGCGUGAGUGAAGAAGGCCUUAGGGUUGUAAAGCUCUUUCGGCGGGACGAUGGUGACGGUACCCGCAGAAGAAGCCCCGGCUAACUUCGUGCCAGCAGCCGCAGUAAC